GAUGAACGCUGGCGGCGUGCCUAAUACAUGCAAGUCGAACGGACAUCGCAAGAUGUGAGUGGCGACCGGGUGCGUAACACGUAGCUGACCUGCCCCUCGGCGGGGGAUAACCGGACGAAAGUUCGGCUAAUACCGCAUGAUUUUCCAGGGAUUAGAAAGCUGGGAAGAAACUUCCGGGGUCGAGGGAGGGGGCUGCGGCCCAUCAGGUAGUUGGGGAGGUAACGGCUCCCCAAGCCAACGACGGGUCGGGGGCCUGAGAGGGUGGCCCCCCACACUG
rnacentral:rRNA from 1 species